AGUGAACGCUGGCGGUAGGCCUAACACAUGCAAGUCGAACGGCAGCACAGAGGAGCUUGCUCCUUGGGUGGCGAGUGGCGGACGGGUGAGGAAUACAUCGGAAUCUACUCUGUCGUGGGGGAUAACGUAGGGAAACUUACGCUAAUACCGCAUACGACCUACGGGUGAAAGCAGGGGACCUUCGGACCUUGCGCGAUUGAAUGAGCCGAUGUCGGAUUAGCUAGUUGGCGGGGUAAAGGCCCACCAAGGCGACGAUCCGUAGCUGGUCUGAGAGGAUGAUCAGCCACACCGGAACUGAGACGCGGUCCAGACUCCUACGGGAGGCAGCAGUGGGGAAUAUUGGACAAUGGGCGCAAGCCUGAUCCAGCCAUACCGCGUGGGUGAAGAAGGCCUUCGGGUUGUAAAGCCCUUUUGUUGGGAAAGAAAUCCAGCUGGUUAAUACCCGGUUGGGAUGACGGUACCCAAAGAAUAAGCACCGGCUAACUUCGUGCCAGCCGCCGCAGUAA
rnacentral:rRNA from 1 species